GACGAACGCUGGCGGCGUGCUUAACACAUGCAAGUCGAACGGAAAGGCCCUGCUUUUGUGGGGUGCUCGAGUGGCGAACGGGUGAGUAACACGUGAGUAACCUGCCCUUUACUUUGGGAUAACUUCAGGAAACUGGGGCUAAUACCGGAUAGGAGCUCCUGCUGCAUGGUGGGGGUUGGAAAGUUUCGGCGGUUGGGGAUGGACUCGCGGAUUAUCAGGUUGUUGGUGGGGUAGUGGCUUACCAAGGCUUUGACGGGUAGCCGGGCUGAGUGGGUGACCGGCCACAUUGGUACGGAACGACGGCCAAGACUACUGCGGGCGGCAGGAGGGGGGAAUGUUGCACAAGGGGCAGAAGGCUGAUGCAGCGCCGCCGCGUGCGGGAUGGCGGCCUUCGGGUUGUAAACCGCUUUAGCCUGUGAAGCAGCGUGGGUGACGGUAAUGGGUAAAGAGGCACGGCCUAACUAGGU
rnacentral:rRNA from 1 species